CGAGUAAAUAAACCGCUCGUCGGAUUCCGAUUUAAAAUUUGUCGUCAAACUGAGGCCAUCGAUUACUGGCGAUAGAAAUAAACUAAUUACAAAUUUUUCCGUGAUUACUGUAGAUAGUCGAUAUUUGUAUACGUGCAUAUCAUAGUUACAAGGGUUACUGGUCAAAGUUCAAGUUGUCGCUUGGUGUACAAAGUACAAUACAGGAAGCCUCCGCCACACCAAAGUCGUCGCGCCAAACGCCACGCCCCUAUAAGAUUAGGAGCAACCUCGCUACUUCACCCCGCCAUUUGGGAAUCCAGGGAAGAAAUCUUUACUCCUCAUCCACAUUUUCCACGGGCAUACAAAUCGAAACCAAAUGAGAUCGUUGUCGGCCCACCAUUCGACAUCUGAAGCCACUGCUCUAGUCGAUCUCGAAACUGAACGGUGAUAAAAGCGGUAUCUUCGUCCGUUGAUGAAACGCACAGGGUCGCGUUUCCGAUUUCAGCGUCCGGCCCAGCUGAACAAGAUCGCUGUAGUUGUAGCCAAUGGCAACAAACAUUUAUCACCUACAUUAUACUAGUGGCCUAAAGCACCAGAUCUAUAGAAACACAAAGGUGAUGGAAUUCCAUCAUCUUUACGGUCAAUUGAGUUCGACCGUAUCACGAAGUGAAACAUCUAGCCCGAUGUUGUUCAAGAUUUGCAUCAUGGCCCCAAGAAUAUCUCACCUGAUUGGGUCUACCCAUUGGCUAGACCUCUGUUUCUGGCUGAAUGUCUCGUUUUUCCGCACAAACUGCCCCAAAUUCCCAAACCCUCUGUGCAUGUCGCACUAAGAAGAAAGGGCGACCAAAGCCGGAAACAUAGGCAUGGACUAAAAACGGCAAGGGAAGUCGCCCGUCACAGAGGAGUGAAGAUGGCUUGGAACUUUAGAGUUAAACCUGCAGACUGGCCGGUCAGCUUGCAUGUCUUUCACGCUUGAAGGUCGCGGGGAAUAUUACGUGUAAAACUGUCAAUGCGGUAGUGUAGAGGUUGGACCCAUCCCCAGCAACGUCAACCUAAAGAAGGAAAGGCCAGUUUGCAUGUCCUUCCCGCUCGAAGGUCACGGAGAUCAUUACGGAAAACGUGUCAUGCGACGGCGGAGAGGUUGGGUGAGGACGACACGUGUUACAUCAUUAUCAAUAGAAAAUGUGAAAGGGGUAUGCAGCCUACUGUCAACUAUUUUGUGUUGUAAAUCCUGGGAUCCUACUGAAUGUGUCAUAAAAAUGACAGAGGAUUCAACAUAAUUAUCGAUUCUAUUAGACUUGCUGGAUCACCAACCCCAGCAUAGACCAAUCUCUCAUUCCAUCUUCUAGAGAACCUUGGAUAACUGAUUAUUGGUGGUUUUGUGUGUCGAGUCAUGUCAUUUGAAGAAAAAGGACAAUGACUAUACAGUCGACAAGGUCCUUUGUUUGGUAACCCGUUGGCUGCUACCUUUGAAUAUCCCUUUUUACUUCCUGAAACAGGCCCUCUUGAUUUGAGGGUAACUCCUUCGCUACUUAUCGUGGACUUCAUCCAUUGGUGAAAACUGAUAAGAGAAAGCUGUAAUUCAAGACUGAUAGUUGUUUGAUGUCUAAGCCGGAAGACUACUAUGGUUAAUCGCUCUCGUAAUAACUGUUCCUCAACUCUUCGCUCUUUUUCUGGUUUCUCUUAACCAUUGGCCAUGUCUUAACCGUUGACCCUGGCUGCAGUCAAUUAAGGCAGCAUCUCCCCCUGUCUUGAUUGACUGUCUGUGCGAGUUUCAAAAGCAGUUUAUCACCCAAAUGAGACAAAAAGGAGUUUGUCUUAUUUGGGUAUAAAUUGUUUUAAAAUUUGCACAGAAUAACAUGUGUC